UNUGACUUGAGUGCAGAAGGGGAGAGUGGAAUUCCAUGUGUAGCGGUGAAAUGCGUAGAUAUAUGGAGAAACACCAGUGGCGAAAGCGGCUCUCUGNUCUGUCACUGACGCUGAGGCUCGAAAGCGUGGGUAGCGAACAGGAUUAGAUACCCUGGUAGUNCACGCCGUAAACGAUGAGUGCUAGGUGUUAGGCCCUUUCCGGGGCUUAGUGCCGGAGCUAACGCAAUAAGCACUCCGCCUGGGGAGUACGACCGCAAGGUUGAAACUCAAAGGAAUUGACGGGGGCCCGCACAAGCGGUGGAGCAUGUGGUUUAAUUCGAAGCAACGCGAAGAACCUUACCAGGUCUUGACAUCCCGAUGCUAUUCUUAGAGAUAGGAAGUUACUUCGGUACAUCGGAGACAGGUGGUGCAUGGUUGUCGUCAGCUCGUGUCGUGAGAUGUUGGGUUAAGUCCCGCAACGAGCGCAACCCUUAUUGUUAGUUGCCAUCAUUAAGUUGGGCACUCUAGCGAGACUGCCGGUAAUAAACCGGAGGAAGGUGGGGAUGACGUCAAAUCAUCAUGCCCCUUAUGACCUGGGCUACACACGUGCUACAAUGGUCGGUACAACGAGUUGCGAGCCGGUGACGGCAAGCUAAUCUCUGAAAGCCGAUCUCAGUUCGGAUUGGAGGCUGCAACUCGCCUCCAUGAAGUCGGAAUCGCUAGUAAUCGCGGAUCAGCACGCCGCGGUGAAUACGUUCCCGGGCCUUGUACACACCGCCC
rnacentral:rRNA from 1 species